rnacentral:lncRNA from 1 species
AUUGUGAAAUGGAAUUCAUAGACUCUAAGCAUCAAUUGGCGGAUAUUUUCACCAAAGCAUUGCCUAAGGAUAGAUUUUUUGAACUUAGAAGAGAUCUAGGCAUAUUAGAAAUAGUAAAAUAGGCAUUUUUAGGCUUAAUAUUGCAAUUUUCGUUGUUUAUCGUGUUUAAUCUAUGUGUAAAUCGAUUAAAAACGUUACCUAUGCAUUUACGAAUGAUUUAAUCGAUUAAUCCAAGUAUUAAUCGAUUAAUUAAUCGAUUAAAACCCAUUUUAAUCGAUUAAAAGCGCUCCUGACAGUUUUUUUUAAGAUUUUUGCGCUGCAUUGAUGAUUAUAGUCGUUGCCAACGGCUCUAAACGGCUAUAAACGGCCAUAUUUUCCAAAAUAUGAACGUUGGGGAGCUUUCUUGAACCUAUUUAUACCCCACUUAUCCCCACUUUCCAUACUUGAACCAAUUUAAAGGAUAUCCCUCUUGCUUUCUCCUUUC